CCUACGGGAGGCAGCAGUAGGGAAUCUUCCACAAUGGGCGAAAGCCUGAUGGAGCAACGCCGCGUGGGUGAAGAAGGUCUUCGGAUCGUAAAACCCUGUUGUUAGAGAAGAAAGUGCGUGAGAGUAACUGUUCACGUUUCGACGGUAUCUAACCAGAAAGCCACGGCUAACUACGUGCCAGCAGCCGCGGGAAUACGUAGGUGGCAAGCGUUAUCCGGAUUUAUUGGGCGUAAAGGGAACGCAGGCGGUCUUUUAAGUCUGAUGUGAAAGCCUUCGGCUUAACCGGAGUAGUGCAUUGGAAACUGGGAGACUGGAGUGCAGAAGAGGAGAGUGGAACUCCAUGUGUAGCGGUGAAAUGCGUAGAUAUAUGGAAGAACACCAGUGGCGAAAGCGGCUCUCUGGUCUGUAACUGACGCUGAGGUUCGAAAGCGUGGGUAGCAAACAGGAUUAGAUACCCCAGUAGUC
rnacentral:rRNA from 1 species